UAGUCUGUAGCCCCGGCCCCCGAAU
rnacentral:miRNA from 1 species